UCUAGGUGAAUAUAGGACUUCACUAUGUAGCAGGCUUACUUCUAUGGACUUUGUGUUUGUGGCUCUUCUGAAUGCUACUCUUUAUUUAUGAUUAUAUAAGACUACACUAGAAUGAAAAUAUGGUGAUGAGGUCUUUGAAGGUCCUUAAUUUAGAGUCACUAUAAAUGAGAUAUCAAGGAGCUUAGAGAUGUGUGUGUCUAGCAUAUUCUUGAGUUCUUUGUCAGAUGUGUGUGUCUAGCAUAUUCUUGAGUUCUUUGUCGCGCCCAAAGACAUUUGUCUUAUAGCAAAAUUUUCUUUACGCUGUUAUCUCUUUCUUUUUCAUGAAUCUACGUCGCAAUAUUACUCCUCACCGAGAUG
rnacentral:misc_RNA from 1 species